CACAUCCUAAUAGGAAUAGGGACUAUGGAUGACAUGUUGAUAGGAAUCUGAGAUGAUAAAAAAUAGCACUCAUCCAACUGCUAACUGAAUAUGCUGGAAAUUAGCUCGUAGUGACAUAUAUUAUUACUGUAGCAUACUGUCCUAGACUUGCAUAUUCAAAAUUAAUGCAUCUCAUGCAGUAGUGCCAUUUGUCGACACACCAUAUGAUAUAUGAAUGAAACCAUAAAAGUGUAUAUGAAACUGUAUAAUCUGGCACUUGGUUUCAUGCCUCCAGCAAUGUGAUGUCCUUUUUAUGUUAUCAUGGCGUAUUGAUAAUUAAAUGAUGAUUCACUCACCCUUGAUAAUGUCUCCUUCUCUUGAGCUAAGCACAUGCUGUCAACAUAACGGAACAACAUGGAGCUGCAGACAUGCACUUGGAGCACAGGUUGACUCGCAGAUGCGUCUGCAAUCUCCCAAACAAAUGAGUAGCACCGUGUAGUCGUGGGCUUGCAGCAGGUUGGCGGGUGAAUGGUCAUAGCGGGAAUAUAACGGGCAUGUCGACUGCUGCGAGUAUUCCAUUCAAGUCGACAACUACAGUUGCAAGAGCUGGGCUCAUGCACUUGGAAUUCUUUGCCACCUGAUAAUUAGUGAAGGUAGUAUAUCUCUGGAUCGUAAUUGGAGUGCCAACUCUUCUAACAGCUGGAUGGCCGUGACCAAUAUCAGAACUUCAAAACCCCAUUAAACAUUGUUGGUAUGAAUUGGGCUUGGAAAAUACUCGAUCGAGCAGCUCCUUUGUUCUACAUUUUGGUUCAGCCUUACACACUUCACCAGAGAAUUGCCACCGCACCUAAAAAACAAUAGUUUCAAUUGUAUAAAGAAAUCCAUGUAUGUGUGACAACCUUUACACGAGGAGGGCAACAGCGUCGACAUGGCGAUCGAGUCACUCCUGAAUGCGGAGAAGCAGUGUUGCCUGGCUGGCGAUGUGGCCAGCACUAGGAAGGACAUCGUCGAGCUCUCUUUCAAGGAUAGCGCCUGGAAGACGCUUAACUACCAUAUCGUUCUCCUCUCUAAGAGGAGGAGGGGCCAGCUCAAGUAGAGAAUGGCGUCAUCGGGGAGGACGGCAGUGGCGUGCCCGUGUUCGCGGAGUACACCCUCGACGAGCUACACGCCUCCACCGAUGGCUUCGCAACGGACCACAUCAUCUUCGAGCACUGCGAGAAGGAGCCUAAUGCCGUCUACCACGGACCCUCUUCAGCUCUGGCACCACCGUCGCCAUCAAGCGCUUCGACCGCUCCGCCUGGCCUGACGCACGCCAGUUCGUGGAGGAGGCUAGGGCAGUUGGGCUGUUGCAGAGCGGUCGCUUGUCCAACCUCAUGGGAUGAUGCUACGAGGGUGGCGAGCGGCUGCUCGUUGCUGAGUUCAUGACGCAUGAUACCUUGGCAGCUGUGAUUCGUAGUGUGGUUAGGGUUUGUUAAGUUUACUAGCUCCUUCAUUGAUGAUGGGUGGCCGGUGGUGCUUUUCUGCCGAGAAUUUAAAAAAUAACUUAUUCCCUGUGUCAUGCGGUUUAUGCAUCUCCUGCCUAUUUCUCUGUUUCAGAUAAUGGUCAUGUUUACACUCGAGUGUGUGAUUUAUGGAGGGGAGGUGCAGUCUAUCUGAAUAUUCAA